GCAGGUAUAACUCAGUGGUAGAGUGUGUGCUUAGCAUGCAUGAGGUCCUGGGUUCAAUUCCCAGUACCUCCA
rnacentral:tRNA from 1 species